CGGGUGCGGAACACGUGUGCAACCUACCUUUAUCUGGAGGAUAGCCUUUCGAAAGGAAGAUUAAUACUCCAUAAUAUAUUGACUGGCAUCAGUUGGUAUUGAAAGCUCCGGCGGAUAAAGAUGGGCACGCGCAAGAUUAGCUAGUUGGUGAGGUAACGGCUCACCAAGGCUACGAUAGGUAGGGGUCCUGAGAGGGAGAUCCCCCACACUGGUACUGAGACACGGACCAGACUCCUACGGGAGGCAGCAGUGAGGAAUAUUGGACAAUGGGCGCAAGCCUGAUCCAGCCAUGCCGCGUGCAGGAAGACGCAUCUAUGGUGUGUAAACUGCUUUUGUACGGGAAGAAACACUCCCUCGUGAGGGAGCUUGACGGUACCGUAAGAAUA
rnacentral:rRNA from 1 species